rnacentral:rRNA from 1 species
UAGGGACGAAGCGAAAGUGACGGUACCUACAGAAGAAGGACCGGCCCAACUACGUGCCAGCAGCCGCGGUAAUACGUAGGGUCCGAGCGUUGUCCGGAAUUACUGGGCGUAAAGAGCUCGUAGGUGGUUUGUCGCGUUGUUCGUGAAAAUUCACAGCUUAACUGUGGACGUGCGGGCGAUACGGGCAGACUAGAGUACUGCAGGGGAGACUGGAAUUCCUGGUGUAGCGGUGGAAUGCGCAGAUAUCAGGAGGAACACCGGUGGCGAAGGCGGGUCUCUGGGCAGUAACUGACGCUGAGGAGCGAAAGCGUGGGGAGCGAACAGGAUUAGAUACCCUGGUAGUCCACGCCGUAAACGGUGGGUACUAGGUGUGGGUUCCUUCCUUGGGAUCCGUGCCGCAGCUAACGCAUUAAGUACCCCGCCUGGGGAGUACGGCCGCAAGGCUAAAACUCAAAGGAAUUGACGGGGGCCCGCACAAGCGGCGGAGCAUGUGGAUUAAUUCGAUGCAACGCGAAGAACCUUACCUGGGUUUGACAUGCACAGGACGCCAGUAGAGAUAUUGGUUCCCUUGUGGCCUGUGUGCAGGUGGUGCAUGGCUGUCGUCAGCUCGUGUCGUGAGAUGUUGGGUUAAGUCCCGCAACGAGCGCAACCCUUGUCCUAUGUUGCCAGCGGGUUAUGCCGGGGACUCGUAGGAGACUGCCGGGGUCAACUCGGAGGAAGGUGGGGAUGACGUCAAGUCAUCAUGCCCCUUAUGUCCAGGGCUUCACACAUGCUACAAUGGCCGGUACAAAGGGCUGCGAUGCCGUGAGGUGGAGCGAAUCCUUUCAAAGCCGGUCUCAGUUCGGAUCGGGGUCUGCAACUCGACCCCGUGAAGUCGGAGUCGCUAGUAAUCGCAGAUCAGCAACGCUGCGGUGAAUACGUUCCCGGGCCUUGUACACACCGCCCGUCACGUCAUGAAAGUCGGUAACACCCGA